rnacentral:rRNA from 1 species
UACGGGAGGCAGCAGUGGGGAAUAUUGCACAAUGGGCGAAAGCCUGAUGCAGCUAUGCCGCGUGUAUGAAGAAGGCCUUAGGGUUGUAAAGUACUUUCAUCGGGGAGGAAAAACAAACUAAUAAUUUUAUUUCUUGACGUUACCCGAAAAAGAAGCACCGGCUAACUCCGUGCCAGCAGCCGCGGUAAUACGGAGGGUGCUAGCGUUAAUCAGAAUUACUGGGCGUAAAGAGCACGUAGGUGGUUUUUUUAAGUCAGAUGUAAAAUCCCUGGGCUUAACCUAGGAACUGCAUUUUGAAACUGAAAUACUAGAGUAUCGUAGAGGGAGGUAGAAUUCUAGGUGUAGCGGUGAAAUGCGUAGAUAUCUGGAGGAAUACCUGUGGCGAAAGCGGCCUCCUAAACGAAUACUGACACUGAGGUGCGAAAGCGUGGGGAGCAAACAGGGAUUAGAUACC